rnacentral:rRNA from 1 species
GACGAACGCUGGCGGCGUGCUUAACACAUGCAAGUCGAACGGAAAGGCCCUUCGGGGUACUCGAGUGGCGCACGGGUGAGUAACACGUGGGUGAUCUGCCCUGCACUUUGGGAUAAGCCUGGGAAACUGGGUCUAAUACCGAAUAGGACCACGCGCUUCAUGGUGUGUGGUGGAAAGCUUUUGCGGUGUGGGAUGGGCCCGCGGCCUAUCAGCUUGUUGGUGGGGUAAUGGCCUACCAAGGCGACGACGGGUAGCCGGCCUGGGAGGGUGACCGGCCACACUGGGACUGAGAUACGGCCCAGACUCCUACGGGAGGCAGCGGUGGGGAAUAUUGAACAAUGGGCGCAGGCCGGAUGCAGCGACGCCGGGUGGGGGAUGACGGCCUUCGGGUGGUAAACCUCUUUCAAUAGGGACGAAGCGAAAGUGACGGUACCUAUAGAAGAAGCACCGGCCACCUACGG